rnacentral:pre_miRNA from 1 species
GACAUACUCCCUCCGUCCGAAAAUACUUGUUCUAAAAAUGAAUGUAUCUAGACUUAUUUUAGUUAAAGAUACAUUCAUUGUAUACAUUUUAGGACAAGUAUUUUCGAACGAAGGGAGUACUUA